rnacentral:rRNA from 1 species
GACAGAGGGUGCAAACGUUGUUCGGAAUUACUGGGCGUAAAGGGCUCGUAGGCGGCCAACUAAGUCAGACGUGAAAUCCCUCGGCUUAACCGGGGAACUGCAUCUGAUACUGGAUGGCUUGAGUUCGGGAGAGGGAUGCGGAAUUCCAGGUGUAGCGGUGAAAUGCGUAGAUAUCUGGAGGAACACCGGUGGCGAAGGCGGCAUCCUGGACCGACACUGACGCUGAGGAGCGAAAGCCAGGGGAGCAAACGGG